rnacentral:lncRNA from 1 species
AUGCUCUUCACCGAGACGGCCCACUUCGUGGUGAAUUUUCUUCUGUACCGGCGCCCCCGGGCCACUCUCCCGUACCGCCUGGACCAGGAGUUGUGUUUCUGGGGCUGCCGGGGCCCGGCCUUGCCGCCUGUCGCCACCCGCAGCAGCCUGGGCGAUUACUGGCUGAGCCCGCAGCGCCGGCGCCCACCGGGCGCCACCUGGCGCUGGCCCGCUCGCAAUAUGCUGCUACUGCCAGGGGCCACCGGGCUGGCGGAUAUACCCUCGGCGCGCUGGCCCAGCUGCUACGGCGUUCGCCCGCGCCUCACGUGGAAGCACCGGUGGCAGAAUAUUAACUACCAGUAUCUGGGCAAGAGGAAGAGACAUCUAGUUCCUCUGCGCCCGUGAGAGCCGCCAACAGAUAUUUAUGGAGCCCCCCCUCAUUUGGAAAGUGAACUUGAGGCAGAAGAGAAUGGCUGGAGGGGCUGGACUUGUGUAGAGAGUCAAGCAAGAAGGCUGAUGAAGUAGCCCAGGUCCAGGUGAGAAGGGUUGGUUGUGGAGGUGAUGAGCUGAGGGAGCCGGCCUGGUGAUACAGCCCAGGUUCCUGGUUUGGGCAACUGAAUAGUGGGAACCUCGAGCCCAGAAGUGAGGAGUGGGUGGUGGGAGACCCAUCCCUUCCCCCUGGAGAAUCUGGAAAGUCCCUGGGAGUGGGUGGAUCUAAGUCUGAACAGAAGAGUAGAAAGUCAGCAAGUGAAAAGUGGAGAGAGGCAUUCUAGGCAGAGGGAAGAGCCUAUUCAAAGGCCCUGAGGUGCGAGAAACUUAGCACUCUGAGAAACUAAAGGGCCAGGAGAGGCAAAGAUCAGCAGGCCAAGGACAAAGAGGAAGGAAGCGAGGCUGGGAGCCUGAUCUCUGGGACACAACCUGGAGCCUUGCCACCGUUCCCCACAGGUGGUAGGGCUCCCUCUGCAGACAGAUAGGAGAGCAGGAGAAUGUGAGGAGGGGCUGGGAGGGGAUGGACAGAUGAGGUGUGUGUUGGAGGGGGGUCCGGAGUAUGUCUUUUCUGGGAAAAGUCACUAAAAGGAGGUUCCUGGGGGACAUUUUUGGGGUGUGAGAAGAAGAGAGUCUUCAGGGUUCUGGGGAGGGACAGAUUCCUUUACCAUUUAAGGAACUGACUGAGGUGUUCCUAUCAUGGCUGAGCUGAAACGAAUCUGACUAGCAUUCACAAGGACACAGGUUCGAUCCCUGGCCUUGCUCAGUGGGUUAAGGAUCCGGUGUUGCCUUGAGCUGUGGUGUCGGUGGCAGACGGCUCAGAUCUGAUGUUGCUGGUGCUGUGGCUGUGUC